CCAAGGCCCAACUCCCCAAACCACGGAGAGUCCUGUGGACAGCUCACCUAGCUGCAAUGGCUGCAGGCUCCCAGAUGUCCCUGCUCCUGGCUUUCACCCUGCUCUGCCUGCCCUGGCUUCAAAAGACUGGUGCCCUUCCAAGCAUUCUUAUCCAGGCUUUUGGAAGAGGCUGCGCUCCAUGCCCAUCAGCUGCAUCAGCUGGCCUUGACACCUACCAGGAGUUCGAAGAAGAUUGUAUCCCGAAUGAACAGAACUAUUUCUUCCUGCAGAACCCCAAGACCUCCCUCUGCUUCUCAGAGUCUAUGCCGACACCCUCCAACAAGGAGGAAAUGCUGGCAAAAUCCAACAUAGAGCUGCUUCACAUCUGUCUGCUGCUCAUCCAGUCCUGGCUCAAACCCGUGCAACUCCUUUUGCCAACAGUGAACUGCACAGGGUCUCGAACACCAUCUAUGAGUCCCUGAAGGACCUAGAAGAAGGCAUUCAAACUCUGAUAGGAAGGCUAAAAGAGGUCAGCCCCUGGACUGGGGAGAUCUUCAAGCAAAACUGCAGCAAGUUUGACACAAACUUGCACAACGAUGACGCACUGCUCAGGAACUAUGGGCUGCUCUAUUACUUCAGGAAGGACAUGGACAAGGUCAAGACGUUCCUGCGCAUUGUGCAGUGUCGCUCUGUGGAGGGCAGCUGUGGCUUCUAGCUGCCGGCUGGCAUCCCUGUGACCCCUUCCCAGUGACUCUCUUGGCCCUGGAAGGUGCCACUCCAGUGCCCACCAGCCUUGUCUUAAUAAAAUUAGGUUGUAUCAUUU